rnacentral:tmRNA from 10 species
GGGGUGUCAGGAGUUCGCUUCUGACUAUGGCAAUAAACGGAAUAUGGAAUAGGCGUAGUGGACCCGGGGGCGGUACCCGGCGUCUCCACCAAAUAUCCAGCCUUGCAAGGGUUUGGACAACUGGGGACGAAACAGGCUCGACACGCGCAGUAAAGAUAUUCUUUUUGCCCGGUAUUGUACCACCGUUAUCGGGCUAUUUUUACAAGUGCCAAUGAUAACUCUGAGGUGCUCGCUGUUGCUGCAUAAGCGAUAAGCGCGGUUCGGGAGGGCACCGGGCAACAGAAGCCCUCCCA